rnacentral:rRNA from 3 species
UACGGAGGGAGCUAGCGUUGUUCGGAAAUACUGGGCGUAAAGCGCACGUAGGCGGCGCAGCAAGUCAGGGGUGAAAUCCCGGGGCUCAACCCCGGAACUGCCUCUGAAACUGCAGUGCUAGAAUCUUGGAGAGGCGAGUGGAAUUCCGAGUGUAGAGGUGAAAUUCGUAGAUAUUCGGAAGAACACCAGUGGCGAAGGCGACUCGCUGGACAAGUAUUGACGCUGAGGUGCGAAAGCGUGGGGAGCAAACAGG